rnacentral:rRNA from 1 species
AGUGAACGCUGGCGGUAGGCCUAACACAUGCAAGUCGAACGGCAGCACAGGAGAGCUUGCUCUCUGGGUGGCGAGUGGCGGACGGGUGAGGAAUACAUCGGAAUCUACUCUGUCGUGGGGGAUAACGUAGGGAAACUUACGCUAAUACCGCAUACGACCUACGGGUGAAAGCAGGGGACCUUCGGGCCUUGCGCGAUUGAAUGAGCCGAUGUCGGAUUAGCUAGUUGGCGGGGUAAAGGCCCACCAAGGCGACGAUCCGUAGCUGGUCUGAGAGGAUGAUCAGCCACACUGGAAGUGAGAGACGGUCCAGACUCCGACGGGAGGCAGCAGUGGGGAAUAUUGGACAAUGGGCGCAAGCCUGAUCCAGCCAUACCGCGUGGGUGAAGAAGGCCUUCGGGUUGUAAAGCCCUUUUGUUGGGAAAGAAAUCCAGCUGGCUAAUACCCGGUUGGGAUGACGGUACCCAAAGGAUAAGCACCGGCUAACUUCGUGCCAGCCGCCGCCGUAA